rnacentral:rRNA from 1 species
UACGUAGGGUGCAAGCGUUGUUCGGAUUUAUUGGGCGUAAAGAGCUCGUAGGCGGUCUGUCGCGUCGGAUGUGAAAACCCAGGGCUACAACCCGUCGGGCCUGCAUUCGAUACGGGCAGACUAGAGUAUGGCAGGGGAGACUGGAAUUCCUGGUGUAGCGGUGAAAUGCGCAGAUAUCAGGAGGAACACCGGUGGCGAAGGCGGGUCUCUGGGCCGAUACUGACGCUGAGGAGCGAAAGCCAGGGGAGCAAACGGG